rnacentral:lncRNA from 1 species
UUUAUGCACACCAAUGGUGAACACAAUUCUUGGUAUUUAUAUAUUUUUAAAAGCAAACUCUAGUUGACAUUGUUAAUGGCUAUGUCACUGUCCAUAUAAAUGGAAUAUAUUCUGGUAGUCUUGAAUGGAGAAUUCUUGCACAAGGAAAAUGUUCUUUUGAUGAAUUUUAUUAAUAAAAAUAGGAUCAAACAUCUAUGAUAUCAAAUGAAAAGCCACAUCUUUUGAUGAAAUCAUUGACUCUUUUUUUUUUCUUUUAAUUGGUGACAGAAAAUAGGGGUUGAUAGUGGACAAGUUGAGCAAUCAUCAAUUAGCUUUACAAAAUGAAAAUCCCAGACCAAUAUC